rnacentral:rRNA from 1 species
GAUGAACGCUGGCGGCGUGCCUAAUACAUGCGAGUCGAGCGAACAGACGAGGAGCUUGCUCCUCUGACGUUAGCGGCGGACGGGUGAGUAACACGUGGAUAACCUACCUAUAAGACUGGGAUAACUUCGGGAAACCGGAGCUAAUACCGGAUAAUAUAUUGAACCGCAUGGUUCAUUAGUGAAAGACGGUUUUGCUGUCACUUAUAGAUGGAUCCGCGCCGCAUUAGCUAGUUGGUAAGGUAACGGCUUACCAAGGCAACGAUGCGUAGCCGACCUGAGAGGGUGAUCGGCCACACUGGAACUGAGACACGGUCCAGACUCCUACGGGAGGCAGCAGUAGGGAAUCUUCCGCAAUGGGCGAAAGCCUGACGGAGCAACGCCGCGUGAGUGAUGAAGGUCUUCGGAUCGUAAAACUCUGUUAUUAGGGAAGAACAAAUGUGUAAGUAACUAUGCACGUCUUGACGGUACCUAAUCAGAAAGCCACGGCUAACUACGUG